GCCUUCGUGGUGUAGUGGUCAGCAUGCUCGACGCGUAACCGAGAGAUCCGUGGUUCGAUUCCCGGCGAAGGCA
rnacentral:tRNA from 1 species